rnacentral:rRNA from 1 species
UGGGGAAUUUUGGACAAUGGGCGCAAGCCUGAUCCAGCCAUGCCGCGUGCAGGAUGAAGGCCUUCGGGUUGUAAACUGCUUUUGUACGGAACGAAAAGGUGCCUUUUAAUAAAGGGCGCUCAUGACGGUACCGUAAGAAUAAGCACCGGCUAACUACGUGCCUGCAGCCGCGGUAAUACGUAGGGUGCGAGCGUUAAUCGGAAUUACUGGGCGUAAAGCGUGCGCAGGCGGUUUUGUAAGACAGAGGUGAAAUCCCCGGGCUCAACCUGGGAACUGCCUUUGUGACUGCAAGGCUGGAGUGCGGCAGAGGGGGAUGGAAUUCCGCGUGUAGCAGUGAAAUGCGUAGAUAUGCGGAGGAACACCGAUGGCGAAGGCAAUCCCCUGGGCCUGCACUGACGCCCAUGCACGAAAGCGUGGGGAGCAAACA